rnacentral:misc_RNA from 1 species
GCGUACCAGAGCCAAUAAACAAUCCAAAGCGAAUGAAGAGAACUUAGGGAAGGAAAUUACAAUGGCUGCCGGGAAAGAAAGUCUGGCUGAUUUUUCCAGGGAGUCAGUGGACAAAAGACGUGUCAAUGGGCGUGGAUCAUCAGGGACAAAAGGAAAUGGCAAACAAGUGGUUGUGGAUGCAAGGAUUACAUGGAAUGAAUUGGAUGGGGG